GACAGAGGUCCCAAGCGUUAGGCGGAAUCACUGGGCUUAAAGCGUGUGUAGGCGGAUUUGUAAGUACCUUGUGAAAUCCCACGGCUCAACCGUGGAACUGCUUGGUAUACUGCUUAUCUUGGGCCAUCUAGGGGCGAGCGGAACAAACGGUGGAGCGGUGAAAUGCGUAGAUAUCGUUUUGAACGCCAAUGGUGAAAACAGCUCGCUGGGGAUGUGCCGACGCUGAGGCACGAAGGCCAGGGGAGCAAACGGG
rnacentral:rRNA from 1 species